rnacentral:lncRNA from 1 species
UUGAUUUGGCUGGGUUUUUAAGCUACUGUUUGGUAUUUUAACAAGUUAUCUGGGCAGAACAAAAAGUGCUUCUUUACGGCAAAUGCUAUUGCUGCUGCUUCUUCUUCCUUUUCAAUUUUGAUUUCUCAUUUCUCUCCAUUUUGAUUUCCUUUUGCUUAAUUGUGAAAAUGUCAAGUUAAACCUAUGGCUGAUGUUUUCUUUUUUAAAAAUUUCUUUAGGCAAAGAUCCCAUGACCAAAUUCACUUACUGCUGCAUUCUGACAUGUUGAAUGUUCCCUCACCAUUACUGUCAAAUGCCGGUUUCUAAGGUUACUUCGUUAGAGUGUCGGCUAUGGUAUGUAUUCGAUUUGCGUAGAAUAAAUUAAUUUGCAGUUUUUUCAUAUAUUUAAAGCAUUAUAGCUCAUAUCUAUGUUAUCCUGCUUGGGUGGUAUGUUCAAAAUGAAUUUUAAUGUCUCUAUUUAGAGGAUCAUAUUCUUGUCUUUAAAUAUGAAUGUAUCUAACAAAAGUGCUUUAAGAAAAAUAAAGAAUUCGAAUAAUAUAGUCCUUCAUGUGAUGAAAUCUGAAUUCAGGUCAGUCAUUUUGUUUAUAUUAGAUUUUUUAGAUCAAACUCUCUAUGUUGCUUUGAUUAUUAUUAUUUUUUGAAGUACCCGUUUUUGGCACUCGUGUUCGACAUGGGUAUAGGAUAUGAUCAUCCUUGGACAUAGCUAACUGACCAUCCUUUGUUGAAAACAUUGGCAUUUGGUUCUUAAAGCAUCAAUGGAGACUGUAGACUUCUACAUAAGAUUGUUGCAGCCCUUAAGCUGUUCUAGUUGUUCUGUAGGAUGUUAAUAUUACAAGCUUGACAAGUAGUGGAAUUCUUGAAGACCCUCUUAGUUAGAUACAUAUAUGGAACUUUCCUUUUACAAGUACAAAUUAUAUACAUAUAGACAUACAUACAUAUAUAUACAUAUACAUAUACAUAUACAUAUACAUAUACAUAUACAUAUACAUAUACAUAUACAUAUACAUAUACAUAUAGGCCUUAUCAUUCAUAUAACAACUGCUGGCGAAGUGUUAAAACAGGCCAUCCGAGUGAAGUAGAAUUUUCGUGUUCCGAAGUUGCUUAGCUAGUUGUGGAAUGCUUGUGCCAUAUAUGAACUCUUGUUGUAAAAGAGUUCAAGAAAAAGCAAGGAUCAAAAGUAUAUUAAAUGUAGAAUCAGUAUCGGGUCAGAUCAGAUCGGACUCUCUUGGCCUUGUUUGCUACGUACAUACAUCAUUAGCGUGAUUCUAAACAGUUCAACUUGCUCAUUCUUUUGCAGCCUUAUCUUAUUCAACAUCCUGUUCUAGCCAGUCGGGCCUAAGGUUUCUGGUGGUUGAUAGGUCGCUUAACAAUGGUGUAUAUGAUUCUCAAUCUCUUGAGGUAACUGAAGAAGGGUGUGUUGGAAACAG